GCCUCCGCUCCGUUUCCCCAUUCCACCACCGCAACCACCCUUCCACCGUGCAUCCCGAGCCACCUCCACCAUACGCCGCCUCCAGCCGUGUGCCACCGUCGCCUUAGCCGCCGCCGCGUCGCUCCGUCUUCACCUCUCGCCUCGCAGCGCCGUGCAGCACCUCGGUCACCGUUGUUCAUCGCCGGAAACCCACCGGAACGUGGUACCUCUCGGUCGCCGGUCUUGCCGGCCCUCGGCCGCGGCUCCGCCAUGGUCGGGCGUCGUCGGACCGCCGUUCCCGUCGCCUCCCGUGUCGGCCGCCGCCAUCCUUUCCGCCGCCGGUCGCCUCCCCAUGGUCGUCCCGUCGCCGGCGCUCCUCGCGUGUAGUUUCCGUCGUUUCGGAAGUCCGCGGUCGCGAG